AGCGAACGCUGGCGGCAGGCUUAACACAUGCAAGUCGAGCGGGCGUAGCAAUACGUCAGCGGCAGACGGGUGAGUAACGCGUGGGAACAUACCUUUUGGUUCGGAACAACACAGGGAAACUUGUGCUAAUACCGGAUAAGCCCUUACGGGGAAAGAUUUAUCGCCGAAAGAUUGGCCCGCGUCUGAUUAGCUAGUUGGUGAGGUAAUGGCUCACCAAGGCGACGAUCAGUAGCUGGCUGAGAGGAUGAUCAGCCACAUUGGGACUGAGACACGGCCCAAACUCCUACGGGAGGCAGCAGUGGGGAAUAUUGGACAAUGGGCGCAAGCCUGAUCCAGCCAUGCCGCGUGAGUGAUGAAGGCCCUAGGGUUGUAAAGCUCUUUUGUGCGGGGAAGAUAAUGACGGUACCGCAAGAUAAGCCCCGGCUAACUUCGUGCCAGCCGCCGCCGUAAU
rnacentral:rRNA from 1 species